rnacentral:lncRNA from 1 species
UGAGGCGAGCAACUUCGGCCUGACGACUCUCCUCUACCCGGAUGGUGUCCCUCCUCGCCCGGUUCAUCACCUCGAUAUUGGCAAGGAGCUAGUGCCCGAUCUGCAAGGGCAGCUAGGAGGUCAGAACGGAGGUUGAGAAGCUAAUUAAAUGAAGGUGUGAAGGGAAGGAGGGAAGUGAAUCUGUUUACCUCGAGAAAGGACCCUAGGGAGUCUCAAACCCACUGAUCGGGAUCGGUGCGAUCAAUCCUCUGGAUGACUUCGGGCAGGAUGCAGCUGUCAAUCAGUCGCUUUAUCAGGUCCCUGUCAUUAAAGGGAUUCUCCCCCGGCUCUCCUUCGGAACCAAGGGACUCUUCAAUGGUGGCUCGGCGGCUACUCACCCUGCGGGCCACCGACUUCCUUCUCCUCCCC